GUAAAAGUUUAAAUUAAUCUCACAUUAACUUUCAUUUAAAUAAAAAUGGGUAAUUUAGAAAUUUUGCCUACGGCCUAAAAUUUUGUUGAGCUGGCCCUUGAUGCAGGACAUCCGAGGCAAUUUUACUGCUUAGUCCCAGAUAAAUUUCAACUGCUUCAUUUUUUUUUCGUGUUCAUUAAUUUAUAAAAAUAUAUUGUUAGUGUGAAUUUGUCAUUUUCACAGACAGAUUAACGACGUGAGACUUCUACAAAUUUUAUUUUGUCUUUGGAUAGUACUCAAUCAUUCAAUCACGACGUGACAAACAUAUUUCAUGUGGAGAAUGUGGCCCGAAUUGCCGAAAUGUGGUUUAUAUUAAAUUUAAUUGCGAUGUAAUAAAAAUAUCAAAAUAUGACUAGGAUUGAAUUAAUAUGAACUUGGUUUAUUAAACAAUAAAAUACGUUGUUUUAUUGGCUAAUCAAAAUUCUAAAACUAACAGACAAUUAACUAACAAACUCUUUCUCAUAUUUCUUGUUCACACAAACAAACUUUAUUGUUAUUUUUUAACUAUCAUUCUAGGAGCUAAAAUUGAAUUGAGAAUAAGAAAAAGGAACGAUCAUUUAUGUAUGUAAAAUAAAUUGUAAACUAGCAGCAUAAGUUAAAUUGCAGAUACGCUAUAACAAGAAUGGAUUCAUUUCUAGUCUAACAUAAAGAACUUUUAAAAGAAAUUAAGUUAUUUCCGAUUACGGGCUGCUGCAUAUGUAACAUGUAAUUCAAUUGAUGGGAUUAGAAAAAUGGCUUGAAUUGCCAUUUUUUGGCUCUAUGAGAAACUUGAAUCGCAUCAGAACACCAAAGUUCAUCAACCUACGAGAAUUAAAUUAUCCGAAUUUUUUAAUGUGUCGAGGCUUUUCGGUCCUAAUAUUUCGUUUUUGCUCAAAUUUGCUUGUCAAAGUCUUAAGUCUGUGAGAGAGAAGAAAAAAAGUUCCCGCGGGGGGGGGGGGGGGGUGAAGAAGAAGAACAGAAGAAGCACCGGCAAGAUGAUAUGAAAUUCAGCUAAUCAUGCUAUUUAACGGCGGUCAAUUUUGGAGUUACAGCCAAAAAAAUUAUGGGAUUGGGUCUGUAAUAAGGAAAGCUCAAAAUAAAUUAAAUCCGAACUAUAAAACAAUUUAAAUAAAACGUGCCAUAAUAUCUUACAAAAAUUUAGAAAAAAAAAUUGAUUUAAGAGAGAAUUCAUAUAUGAUUCAAACACCCUUCUGAUUUCAGUCAAUGAAUAUUAUUAAUUAAAUGUAAUUUAAUCGCAUAAAAGCACCACAAACUAAGUCCUCAAUUUUCUUGAAUGACGAUAUUAUACACAAUACUACUAGACUUAAAAGAUGAAGCCAUACAAGUAGCAUGGGAGAAGACUCUAGGAGUAGAGAUGACAAUAUUUCCCGGCUCCAAGUCCAAUGGGAAGUGAUCAUAUGCCAGAGAGCCAACAAAACAAUGAAGCUUUUUUUUUUUUUCUUUCUUUCUUUAAAAAAGAAAACAAUUUCUUGAUUUUGAUGAUGUUUUUUUGCCUUAUGAAGCUGCAAGUAACAUUACAGGAUAUCGUAGAGAUGGAAGAAAUGAUAGUUCUGGGUCACAGAAUGGCACAUUUUAAUAUCCUUUAUGGAGGAUCCGGAGGGUAGUAUGGAUAAAUGAUUAAAAUGUAAAUUUUCAUAUGAUUGAAAGGGAUAGUGUCUUUUUAUACAAUAAAUGUGUGAGUUUAUUUCAUAAAAAGCAACACAUUAUAUAGGCAAAUAUAAUUAAUAUGUUGACACACACAAUAACUUUUAUUUAUUUAUUUUCCUUUUCAGGAAAAUACUUAACUCAAAAGCAAACAAAGAAGAUCUCUUGUACAUCUCAAGAAAUCUUUUAAGUUACAUUAAACUGGACUGAGACAUUGACAUAACUGAUAGGUAAUAGUACACCUAUCAUUUAUUUAAUUAAAUAAAACAUAAAAGACCAGUAUUGCACUUAACCCAUAUGAUCGGGAUUUCUUCCAUAUUGAGGAACAAUAAGAAGAUCAAGAUUGUCGUUCAUGAUAUCAUCAUUAGCAAUACCUUCGUACCGGAAGUUAAAACCCUCUGACCACUUUUUUCCUGAAAAAUUCAUAUAAAAAAUUUAAUUUAUAAACGCAUCUACGAAAAUAAGAAUUAUAAACAAUAUCUAUUAAAAUGAAGUUGGCCUAUAAACCUGCGCAAGUAGUUUCCAUGUUCUUCAAAUCAGUAAGAUCUCUGCUUACGGGAAUCAAAAUUCGAAAGUAAUUAAGUUGCUUUUUUGAGUUCUUGCUUCCGGUUUGAUAAUUUGAUGUAAUAUAUAUAGAUGGUUCAAGUAUGCUUGGUGAUCCCCAAGCGAAAUAAAAAAAAAUAGAGGGUAUGCUGCUGGAUAAGAUUGUUGGACAAGUAGAUAACGAAUAACUGGCUAUAGUUCAAUUACACGAAUUACGUGGGUCUUAUCCGAUGGCAAUAAUUGAUUAUUGGGAAAAACUACCGCAAUAUAAGAUGGUUCAAGUAUGUCUGGUGAUCCCCAAACAAAAAAAACAGGUAUGCUGCCGGAUAAGAUUGUUGGACAAGUAGAUAACGAAUAACUGGCUAUAGUUCAAUUACACGAAUUACGUGGGUCGUAUCCGAUGGCAAUAAUUGAUUACUGGGGAAAACUACAGCAAUUAGCACGUGCAGUCUUUUCUUUCACAUCUCAUUGCUACAAUAAUUUUGUAAAUUACAAAAAUUUCUUUUGGUAUGUUUCGUCUUGGACAUAGCCAAUGAAAGAUAGUCUUGGAAAUGAAAUUUUCUAAAUUCCCAAUUUCAUUU
rnacentral:lncRNA from 1 species